rnacentral:rRNA from 1 species
UACGUAGGGGGCAAGCGUUGUCCGGAUUUAUUGGGCGUAAAGAGCGUGUAGGCGGCCAGGUAGGUCUGCUGUGAAAACUCGAGGCUCAACCUCGAGAUGUCGGCGGAAACCAUCUGGCUAGAGUCCGGAAGAGGAGAAUGGAAUUCCCGGUGUAGCGGUGAAAUGCGCAGAUAUCGGGAGGAACACCUGAGGCGAAGGCGGGCUACUGGGCCGAUACUGACGCUGGAUGCGCGAAAGCCAGGGGAGCGAACGGG